UACGGAGGUGGCAAGCGUUGCUCGGAAUCACUGGGCGCAAAGGGCGCGUAGGCGGGGAGGUAAGUCGGGUGUGAAAUCCCUCGGCCCAACCGAGGAACUGCGCCCGAGACUGCUUCUCUUGAGUCCCGGAGAGGAAGAUGGAAUUCCCGGUGUAGCGGUGAAAUGUGUAGAGAUCGGGAGGAACACCGGUGGCGAAGGCGGUCUUCUGGACGGUGACUGACGCUGAGGCGCGAAAGCGUGGGGAGCAAACGGG
rnacentral:rRNA from 1 species